GGAUGUGGGAUUGCACAGACAACCAGGAUGUUGGCUUAGAAGCAGCCACUCAUUCAAAGAGUGCGUAAUAGCUCACUGGUCGAGUGAUCCUGCGCCGAAGAUUUCCGGGGCUAAAACUUACUACCGAGGCUACGGCAUCAGUAAUGAUGGGUAGGGGAGCUUCCCAUACGGGUUGAAGCAUGACCGUAAGGACAUGUGGACAGUAUGGGAGUGAGAAUGUUGGCAUGAGUAGCGAGAUGUGGGUGAGAAUCCCACAGGCCGUAAACCCAAGGUU
rnacentral:rRNA from 1 species